UAUUUGUAUUUUAAUUUGACAUAUAUUCAUUUUAUAUAAUUAUAUAAUAUAUAAUAUUUAAGAUGUAAUUUUCAUUUAUCUAUUUAAACAUGUAUGUGUGUGUGUGUGUGUGUCUGUGUGUCUGUGUCUGUGUGUGUGUGUGUAUGCAGCUUGUCCUCAAAUUAUGGUGGUUUGCCUUACAAUUUUUGACUUAGUGUGAAAGACAUAUGUAUUCAACAGGUACCAUGCUUUGAAUUUUGAAUUUCUAUAUUUCCCCAGCUGUAAUUCAUAACUCCCUAUCAGCCAUCUUAUCAUGAGGGUAAACAACCAAUACUUUAUAGUGUGCCGUGUUGCUAGGCAAUGAUGUUUUGUAGGUUUGUCAUGUGAAGUACAUUUUCAACUGACUAUAUGUUGAACAUACUGAGGGUUUAUUGGGGCAUAACCUCAUCAUAAAUCAAGGAGCAUCUGUAUAUAUAUGUAUGCAGAGAAAUUAACUGGCUGGCGGUAACCAAUGGUAUGAAAGGGGGAUUUUUGGUAAUGAGACAUCACCCUACUCUCAGGAUGUGUCCAAAAGAUUUGAGUUUUUUCUGUGUGCAGGUUAAGGGACCCACAAAACGGAGACAGUUCAGACUGCCCUGAGAAAAUUCUCUGUCUCUCAAGAGCCAGUAAGACUUUUGUCUUCAGAAGGAAGGAAUCACUUGGAACUAAGUGUAGGAAUUAAAUAUAUAAAUAUACUAAUACAAUCAAAAUAAGUGAAAUCCUUCAUAAAAAAAAAAAAAAAAAACCUGUGCAUAAAGCACUGGAGAGUACAACUAAGGAUGUGAGAACAGAAGUUUAGAUAGAGUUAGGAAUACCAAAGGUCUAAUUUUGGGGACUGAAAACAAUGAUACAGCUGUUUUGCUUUCUCUUCACAGAAACACGUUGGGACUUAUCUGUAGUUGCUACUAUUUAUUCAUGUAAACUUCUCCUCUACCUGUGCUCAUCAAGACUUUUCUUGUGCCACUCCACUAAAAGUGUACCAAAGAAGGACGCUAAUACAGUAUAAACAUGAGCAUGAAUGCUGAUCAUCUCAACAAUCAAAUGCUCACUAAAGACAGAUGCAGAAGAAGGACGGUAUAUGACAUGGUGGAAGUGGAAGUGACUCUGGGACCCUUGGCACUUCUCAUGGUUCUGCCUUGAAUUGUUUCGUGAGUUUAUAUAAAUCAUUCAUCCUCUUCAGACCACUUAAUGUUCAUUUCUCUAUAAAAUGAGGCUAUUGUUUCCACGUGCUUCCUAGUCCUUUGGAGUACUAAGACAUACAUACACACACACCCUGAUCAGGCAAACUGGAGUGAGACUCAGAGAAAC
rnacentral:lncRNA from 1 species